AUGAAAACGUGUUGCAUCUUCUUCCUCUACUUGGCUAUUAUUCUCCAAUACUGUUUCUACUUCUCUGUUUCGUCAUCAUCACCUCUUCUUCUCCCUCUCUCACACACUCUCUCUCAGCCUCCAAACACUCUUCCUCUCCUCUCCACCUCCUCAAAUUAUCCUCCUCCCGCUCCUCCGCACGUUUCCUCCCUCUACUUCUGGAAGCUACUACCUCCUCUCCCUCUACGUCCCCCUUGCCGUCCUUUCACCUGCAUCCUCUGCGAAUCCAAACCCCCACCUUCACCCACCUCCCUCUCCUCCUCUGCCGCCACCGUCCCCUGCUCCUCCGCUUCCUGCUCCGCCGCACACUCCUCCCUUCAAUCCACUUGACUUCCUCAAAUUCUCAGAUUCAUCUCUAGUCACCAUCGAUUGAAGCUUCAUCACCACACUCCUUUUGACCCCAUCGCUCAUUAUCCCACCACCACCAGCUCGUCACCGCCAUCACCAUCAUCGCCAUAUCCCUCAUCCGCCAUCUCUCUCUCUCUCUCUCUUUCUCUCUCUCUCUCUCUCAUUUUGUUUUGAUUUUACAAGAAAAAGAUGAAUUAGUGUUACCACCAUACUCACACCUACUUCCUCAAGCUUCCCAAUUUCUUCACGCCAAAGGGAGCUGGGUGAAGUUGAGUACUUGGUGCUUGACGAAGCUGACCAGAUGCUUGCUGUUGGGUUUGAGGAGGCUGUGGAGUCGAUUCUCGAGCAGGUAUAGAGAUUCUUCCUUUUAAGAUUGACCUUCCUUUUUUUUUUACUUGGAAGAGAAAGAUGUCAAAGAGUAUGAGGCUUUACAGCCAGAUAAGAUUGCUGUUGAUUGUGGUGAGCAUAACCUCAAGGAACUAAAUGCCAUACAAAGGCUAGCAUGAAGUGUUGUCGUGAGAAGAGUUGGUGGUCGUGAGCUUGAACACAGAGGAGGCACGGCAUUGUGGUAGUGGUGCUAGCUGCCUCUGCUCACCGGAGACUGAAGAUAAUACUUCAUGGUGCCUUGUAGUACAGCCAUUUUCUCGAGUCUCUCUCUCUCCACCAAGUCAUCAUCUCCUUUUGUAAACAAUAUGUAUUGACUUUGUAUGUUAUAAAACUCAUCGUUGAGUUUGUCUUUUGUUCUGUUUUUAAACAUUUAAAACUAUUGUUAACAUAAAUUAUAAAUAAAAAAUAAUAUAUAAAUCAUUUAAAACA